rnacentral:rRNA from 1 species
CCUAUAAUUGAUAAUCCACGAUUUAAAUUACUUAAUUUAAAAGUUUGCAUAUCGCUGUAAAAUGAAUAUUUUAGAAAAAUAGUAAUAUUCAAGCUUUUUAAUUUAAAAAAUAAUUCAAGUCAAGAUGUAGCUUAUAAUUAAGAAGAGAUGAAUUACAAUAAAUAUAUUUAAAUGGAAUAUUAAAUGAAAUAUUAAUAUAAAAGUGGAUUUAAAAGUAAUUAUAAAAAAAUAUUUAUUAUGAUUUUAGCUCUGAAGUAUGUACAUAUCGCCCGUCACUUUCAUUAUAAAGUGGAAUAAGUCGUAACAAAGUAGAUGUACUGGAAAGUGUAUCU